rnacentral:rRNA from 1 species
CCUACGGGAGGCAGCAGUGAGGAAUAUUGGUCAAUGGCCGGAAGGCUGAACCAGCCAUGCCGCGUGAAGGUCAGUGCCCUAUGGGCGUUAAACUUCUUUUGUGCGGGAGCAAUAAUGGUCACGUGUGGCCAGACGAGAGUACCGUACGAAUAAGCAUCGGCUAACUCCGUGCCAGCAGCCGAGGUAAUACGGGGGAUGCAAGCGUUAUCCGGAUUUAUUGGGUUUAAAGGGUGCGUAGGCUGGGAGGUAAGUCAGCGGGGAAAUGCCCCCGGUCAAGGGGGUGAAGUGCCAUUGAUACUGCCUUGCUGGAAUGCGGAUGCCGUGGGAGGAAUGUGUGGUGUAGCGGUGAAAUGCAUAGAUAUCACACAGAACACCGAUUGCGAAGGCAUCUCACGAAUCCGCGAUUGACGCUGAUGCACGAAAGCGUGGGUAUCAAACAGGAUUAGAUACCCUGGUAGUC